UACGUAGGGUGCGAGCGUUGUCCGGAAUUAUUGGGCGUAAAGAGCUCGUAGGCGGUGUGUCGCGUCGGCCGUGAAAACCUGGGGCUCAACUCUGGGCGUGCGGUCGAUACGGGCAUCACUUGAGUUCGGCAGGGGAGACCGGAAUUCCUGGUGUAGCGGUGAAAUGCGCAGAUAUCAGGAGGAACACCGGUGGCGAAGGCGGGUCUCUGGGCAGUAACUGACGCUGAGGAGCGAAAGCGUGGGGAGCGAACAGG
rnacentral:rRNA from 1 species